rnacentral:rRNA from 1 species
UACGUAGGGUGCGAGCGUUAAUCGGAAUUACUGGGCGUAAAGCGUGCGCAGGCGGUUCGUUAAGACAGGUGUGAAAUCCCCGGGCUUAACCUGGGAAUGGCGCUUGUGACUGGCGGGCUUGAGUACGGCAGAGGGAGGUGGAAUUCCACGUGUAGCAGUGAAAUGCGUAGAGAUGUGGAGGAACACCGAUGGCGAAGGCAGCCUCCUGGGCCAGUACUGACGCUCAUGCACGAAAGCGUGGGGAGCAAACAGG